AAGUCGUAACAAGGUAACCGUAGGUGAACCUGCGGUUGGAUCAUUAUGGGAGCGCCAUACAAUUUACGAAUUGUGUGCAUCGACCCUGUGCAUUUUUAGUACUUGAUACGUGAUUGAGAGUGCUCGUACGUGCUCACGACAAUACAAUAAACUGAGAAGCAAAUAAAAACAACUUUUGACAACGGAUCUCUUGGCUCUC
rnacentral:misc_RNA from 1 species